UACAGAGGGGGCAAGCGUUGUUCGGAAUUACUGGGCGUAAAGGGCGCGUAGGCGGCCUACUAAGUCGGACGUGAAAUCCCUCGGCUCAACCGAGGAACUGCGUCCGAUACUGGCAGGCUGGAAUCCGGGAGAGGGAUGUGGAAUUCCAGGUGUAGCGGUGAAAUGCGUAGAUAUCUGGAGGAACACCGGUGGCGAAGGCGGCAUCCUGGACCGGUAUUGACGCUGAGGCGCGAAAGCUAGGGAAGCAAACGGG
rnacentral:rRNA from 1 species